UACGGAGGAGGCAAGCGUUAUCCGGAAUUAUUGGGCGUAAAGCGUCCGUAGAUGGUUUUGUCAGUCUGCUGUCAAAGCACAGGGCUUAACCCUGUAAAGGCAGUGGAAACUACAAGACUAGAGUGCAGUAGGGGCAGAGGGAAUUCCCAGUGUAGCGGUGAAAUGCGCAGAUAUCAGGAGGAACACCGGUGGCGAAGGCGGGUCUCUGGACCGAUACUGACACUGAGGAGCGAAAGCGUGGGGAGCGAACAGG
rnacentral:rRNA from 1 species